AACACGUUGGAACACAACGCAUCAAGCAAUAGUACAACGAGUCCCAAAAAAUAGAAAACUCUCAUUUCUGCUUGUGACUGUUGGCAGAUCACGGACAGUGCCUGUAUAAUGAGACAGUGACCUGGAGCUCCUGGUGGAAGGGAUGGUACAGAGGAGGGAUGUUCUCAUCCGAUGGCAGAGGAGGUCACGACAGCAGAUCCUUCCAGCCUGAUCCAUGCUGCCAGGUUUACAACAUACGUACUCAAUUUGAUUUUCCCAAUCUCUGUGAAGAUUACAUGAGGGGUCCGAUGAGUUCCAAGUUAUGGAGGACACAAUAUGAAAAGCCAGAGAAGACAGCAUUGAAAUAGUGAAGACUGAAGGUAUCAACAGCAUUGAUCGAAUUCAAGCAGCAGAUGGCCUCCAACAGAAAUAGGCAUGGACAUUCCUACAGAGGUGUAAGUUUGUAGUUUUUGAGAUUAUGGGGACCUUAUGGGGUGGUUGUGCUCCGAAAACUAGUGCUUACAAUUAAACCUGUUGGACUAUAA